GGUUAAUAUGCUGAAGCAGAUAUCAUUGAAUGACUCAGUCGGCUUCUUCAAAUAUCCUUAUGGUCUACCUUAUUGCAUGCAAAAAGAUUUAAGCUGUGGAGAUACAGCAACCAUAUUGCAACCCUGAGACCACAGCAUGAAGAUGAAAGGUCUUCUACUAAGGAAAGAAAAGAAAGAAGAAACCAAAAGAUAUGAAGAGACUGGGUCCUUGAUGACUUUGUUGGGCAGCGACAGCAACUUUAGGCCUUUCUGGGUUUCUUACAACAAAAUUAAACCUCUAAUUGUUAAAAUGAC